AGAACAGCAGUAGAAACAAAAGCUGCUUUUUCAUUCACAGGCUAAAUACAGCAUACAGCAGCUGCACUGCAGGCUAAACCCAUAUUAUCCUCUUUAUGACCUCAGUUCUGACCUUAGAUGAGGUUUCAUGCUCCGCUUAAAUGCAGAUAGUAUUUUUGUUUCUAACUUGACUUCUCUUGAGUCCCUU
ensembl:misc_RNA